UACGUAGGGUGCAAGCUUUGUCCGGAAUUAUUGGGCGUAAAGAGCUCGUAGGCGGUCUGUCACGUCGGCUGUGAAAACCCGAGGCUCAACCUCGGGCCUGCAGUCGAUACGGGCAAACUAGAGUACUGCAGGGGAGACUGGAAUUCCUGGUGUAGCGGUGAAAUGCGCAGAUAUCAGGAGGAACACCGGUGGCGAAGGCGGGUCUCUGGGCAGUAACUGACGCUGAGGAGCGAAAGCGUGGGGAGCGAACAGG
rnacentral:rRNA from 1 species